GACGAACGCUGGCGGCGUGCUUAACACAUGCAAGUCGAACGGAAAGGCCCUGCUUUUGUGGGGUGCUCGAGUGGCGGACGGGUGAGUAACACGUGAGUAACCUGCCCUUGACUUUGGGAUAACUUCAGGAAACUGGGGCUAAUACCGGAUAGGAGCUCCUGCUGCAUGGUGGGGGUUGGAAAGUUUCGGCGGUUGGGGAUGGACUCGCGGCUUAUCAGCUUGUUGGUGGGGUAGUGGCUUACCAAAGCUUUGACGGGUAGCCGGCCUGAGAGGGUGACCGGCCACAUUGGGACUGAGAUACGGCCCAGACUCCUACGGGAGGCAGCAGUGGGGAAUAUUGCACAAUGGGCGGAAGCCUGAUGCAGCAACGCCGCGUGCGGGAUGACGGCCUUCGGGUUGUAAACCGCUUUCGCCUGUGACGAAGCGUGAGUGACGGUAAUGGGUAAAGAAGCACCGGCUAACUACGUG
rnacentral:rRNA from 1 species